CUGCGGUGCAUUGUAGUUGCAUUGCAUGUGUUUGUGCUGUGUGCAAUGUUCCUGCAGUGCAACACAG
rnacentral:pre_miRNA from 1 species